UUCCUGGCAGGUUAGUGGUUAGGCUACAGGGCUCUCACCGCUGCAGCCCAGGUUCGAGUCCUGCCCAGGGAA
rnacentral:tRNA from 1 species